AUGCUCACUUCAGCAGCACAUGUACUAGGACUGGAACCAUAUGGAGGAGUUUAGCAUGGUCACUGCACAAAGAUGACAUGCAAAUCUGUGAAGUGGACCAUAUUUUU